AGCCGCCGCGGUAAUACAGAGGGUGCGAGCGUUAAUCGGAUUUACUGGGCGUAAAGCGUGCGUAGGCGGCUUUUUAAGUCGGAUGUGAAAUCCCUGAGCUUAACUUAGGAAUUGCAUUCGAUACUGGGAAGCUAGAGUAUGGGAGAGGAUGGUAGAAUUCCAGGUGUAGCGGUGAAAUGCGUAGAGAUCUGGAGGAAUACCGAUGGCGAAGGCAGCCAUCUGGCCUAAUACUGACGCUGAGGUACGAAAGCAUGGGGAGCAAACAGGAUUAGAUACCCCUGUAGUCCCUGUCUCUUAUACA
rnacentral:rRNA from 1 species